GAAGAUGUAACGGGGCUAAACCAUGCACCGAAGCUGCGGCAGCGAACGUAUCACUUAAAGCGAUUCAGCGGGUUACGAUUGACGGAGCGAAGCGACGUCAAAGCGUAUACAAAGUCGAGUCGGUUUAAGGAUACGUUCGUUGGGUAGGGGAGCGUUCUGUAAGCCUGUGAAGGUGGCCUGUGAGGGUUGCUGGAGGUAUCAGAAGUGCGAAUGCUGACAUAAGUAACGAUAAAGCGGGUGAAAAGCCCGCUCGCCGGAAGACCAAGGGUUCCUGUCCAACGUUAAUCGGGGCAGGGUGAGUCGACCCCUAAGGCGAGGCCGAAAGGCGUAGUCGAUGGGAAACAGGUUAAUAUUCCUGUACUUGGUGUUACUGCGAA
rnacentral:rRNA from 1 species